GCUUUGAUAGCUUAAAAACUAAAGCACUGGUCUUGUAAACCAGAGACCGAAGAUGAAACCCCUUCUUAAAGCA
rnacentral:tRNA from 2 species